rnacentral:misc_RNA from 1 species
UCCGGUUUAUCACCGGCAGUCUCCUUUGAGUUCCCACCUUUACGUGCUGGCAACAAAGAAUAAGGGUUGCGCUCGUUGCGGGACUUAACCCAACAUUUCACAACACGAGCUGACGACAGCCAUGCAGCACCUGUCUCAGAGUUCCUUUCGGCACAAAAACAUCUCUGUUCUCUUCUCUGGAUGUCAAGAGUAGGUAAGGUUCUUCGCGUUGCAUCGAAUUAAACCACAUGCUCCACCGCUUGUGCGGGCCCCCGUCAAUUCAUUUGAGUUUUAACCUUGCGGCCGUACUCCCCAGGCGGUCGAUUUAACGCGUUAGCUACGGAAACCAGGGUUCAUGACCCCAACCUCCAAAUCGACAUCGUUUACAGCGUGGACUAC